CAUUCUAUGUUGACACAUGUGUUUAAAUCUGGUGUUUUUAAAUUCAAUGCAUUAACUAGCUAAUCAAUAAUGAUAAAACUGCAAUUUAUUUCACAAAUAAGACGAAGUUUCAUUUUUCAGAUUAAUCACUCGUUUCUACCUCAAAAUUACAAAUGUCAAUUUAUAGCGACCCCUCACUUUUGAAUUAACGGUUGGAGUUAAGCAAAAUAAUUAUGCAAAAUAUCUAUUAAAAUUGUUGAAUUUUAAUUUUUUUACAGUGGAAUUAUGUCUAAUUAUUUUCAAUUAACAUUCUCGGUGUAAAUAGUUCAUCUAUGUUAUAUAGUGACCCUUUAUGCUAUUGUGUACCUUCCUCUACGAUCCAAAUGUAAACUUACUCUCUACUCAGGUGAUGUUUUGAAUUCAUCACAAAUCGUUGAUCAGUGACAUUAAGUCAAGUGUCAAGAUCUAAAUGUCAAGUGUAACGAAAAAUGGUCUGAUUAUCUUCCGCAAAUGAUCUAAUUAUUCAAGUACUAAACAUGACUUUUCGUUGAAAGUUCUGCUCAUUUGGAUGGUUGUUUGCUUAUUGUUAAAAGACUAACCGUGAUAUAAGACAAACCCAAGUCCAUAGUAAAACCUGAUUUCAGUUGAUUGCCAAGUUUUACUCCAUGUCAUACAGCUUUUGGAAAAAGGAAAAAACCUCAUAGAUUAACCAUUCAAUAUGAUUGGAACCAAUUUCUAGUUCCAGAUUAACCAAGGAAAAUCGAAGGGUCAAGGAUAAAUUUUCUAAUGCGCAAAAAUGCUGAACACAAUGUGAAAAGAUAUCAAUAGAUUGGAACUCAUUGCAUCUGGAAAUGUCUAAAUCUCUGAAAAAAACCUGGCAAAUCUGAUGAGACAAAAUUACUAUUUUCAAGACUUUUAAACUUCUGCUUCAAGAAUUGGAUGGUUCCUGAUGCUAAUCCUUUCAGCAUUUUUUACUUAUUUAUAAAGAGAUUAAAGGAUUAAUGAAAUGGACCAGAAUUGGAAAGUUUAAUGGAAUCACAAUCUUCACUUUCAUUCGUAAUUCUCAAUUGGUAAUUUGAUUCUACUCAAUGGGUCCUUCAAAACAAGAGCUCAAAAGCAGCUACACCGAUUCCUGAUGCAGCCCCUGAUCCAGCUAAUCCAAUGAAAUGUUCACUUCCAAUGUUGCUGGCGAAAACUGAGGCUCCAACCUUAAAUGAUGAAGCAAAUUUAAAUUAAUCAAAUGGACAACUCACAUUCAGGCUCAAUGUUCAGCUUAUAACACUUAAUCGUACAAGAUUUACUGGAUAAACAUGUCACAACCUUUAUUACUCUCAUUCUGCUGCUUCUUCAUCAAAUUGGAAUGAUAAGUCAAUCCGAAUAGUUUCAUAUCAGCGGAUUAUGCAGCUAUAAAUAUGUUAAUAAUAUUCAUGGAAAUAUAUUCAUUUCUCUCUGUAACUGAACAUUAACAAGCAGAAUUGGUUGAACUGUUUGUUUCCAUUCAAGCCUUAUCUUUACUAUCUAGACUUGUAGUACAAGAUGUUUUUCUGGUAAAUGAAUAAAUCGGUAAAUCAAGAGUGAAACAUUUACUUACUGUUAGCCAAGUCAUAUAACGUCCAGCUAAAAAGUAGCCAUCAACUGUUCCUCGAUUUUUCGUUUUCCACAUGGAC